AAAGGUUCUGGUACAGAGCAGUCAGUCACACAGGAUGAUGGGCAACAGCAAGUAUACUCCUCUCUCCUUCAUGCUGACCAGUGUAUUUAUGAAACAAUCAGAGCGACUGGAAACACUGGAAAUGGAAACAACCAGAGAUCACAACUUCAAGAUCAAGAAAUCCUGUCACAGGCGAGAUGUUAAGAAGGAACUAAUCAUCACAGGACAAGAAGAAAAACAGGCUGGUGUCUACCACACCAGACAUGACCCAAAAUCCAGAAUGUCCCAAGAUGCUGGUUUAUAUGUUCAGUUCUUCAGCUGCCUUUUCAUUCUUCACAAGCUUUAACUUUUGCUCUUUUUAGCUCUCAUGUUAAAACACAUUUGUAAUUGUCACACUCUGUGUUUUUUCUGCUUCAGUUUUCUAGUGUUUCUGUAUUUUCCCUGUGUGUCCUCGGUUGUUCUUCCUGCCCCGCCCGUGCUCACCUGAUUCCUUUGGUGUCUCCUCCAGGUGUUUCUUGUUGUCUCGUUAAGUUCUCCCUUUAUAUUCUGUGUCCUGUCUUCAGUGUUUGAUCACUGUGCUGUUACCAGCCAGUGUGGUGUUUCUCAUGUUCCUUGUGUUCUUUUUCUCCCAGAAGACCUGUGAGUUUUUGAGCUACCACGUCAGCCUUCUUUUGUUUAAUAAAUAUUUAGCUUUUUGGA